rnacentral:rRNA from 1 species
UACGAAGGGGGCUAGCGUUGCUCGGAAUUACUGGGCGUAAAGCGCGCGUAGGCGGCUUUGUAAGUUAGAGGUGAAAGCCCGGGGCUCAACCCCGGAACUGCCUUUAAGACUGCAUCGCUUGAAUCCAGGAGAGGUGAGUGGAAUUCCCGGUGUAGCGGUGAAAUGCGUAGAGAUCGGGAGGAACACCAGUGGCGAAGGCGGCUACCUGGACCAGCACUGACACUGAGGCACGAAAGCGUGGGGAGCAAACAGG